rnacentral:rRNA from 1 species
UAGUAACGGCGAGUGAAGCGGGAUGAGCUCAAGCUUAAAAUCUCCGUGCAAAUUUUGCACGGCGAAUUGUAGUCUAUAGAGGCGUGAUUAGCGUAAGCACUUGGGGCAAGUUCCUUGGAAGAGGACAGCAUCGAGGGUGAUACUCCCGUUUAUCCCCGAGUUGCUUAUGCGUACAAUCCGUUUUCUUUGAGUCGCGUUGUUUGAGAAUGCAGCGCAAAGYAGGUGGUAAAUUCCAUCUAAAGCUAAAUAUUGGUGCGAGACCGAUAGCAAACAAGUACCGUGAGGGAAAGAUGAAAAGAACUUUGAAAAGAGAGUUAAAGAGUACCUGAAACUGCUGAAAGGGAACCAAAUCGUUUCCAGUGUCUAUAAUCCGUGGUAUAUUUCAUUAGCGAAUGUGUGCGUGCGUGUACUAUGGCAGCGGCUUUUUGCUGCGCCUUGUACGUGUGUGCACUUUCUCGCUGGUGCCCUGUACCGUGGUGGGACGUCAAUGUCGGUUCGUAAAUUGCGGGAAAUGACUGCCGAGGAGGUAGGGCGAACGCUUGCGUUUGUCUGUUAAAUCUUGGCGGACGUAGUAGUCGCGGUUGGGACUGAGGUGCCUACAAUGUGCUUAUGAGUAGAAUUGAUUCUCCGUGUGCGCCGUGUGCGAAUAGCUUGCUAUGCGUGUGUGGCUGCGUGUGGAU